rnacentral:sRNA from 1 species
UGGGACAAGGAGGAGCUUCUCCUUGAGGUGAAUAGUUAUCCCGAAAGUCUCUGUCAUAUCGAUGCCUCCAUUUGCUGCUUGAUCUAUUGGUAGCUUCCAAUUGAAGCGAUACACAAGGCUUGCUAGCAUGACCUCGAUGGCGGCGAUCGCGAAGUUCAUACCUGGGCAUAUCCUCCGACCAGUUCCGAAUGGCAAGAAAUUGAAAUUAUUUCCAUUGUACCCAGCCAUUGUGUUGCUAAGGAACCUCUCUGGCAUGAACUCCUCGGCAUUUUCCCAAUAGCUAGGGUCCCUGGCAAUAGCCCAUGCAUUGACGAUGACACGAGUGCCUGAGGGUAUAGUAUAGCCCUCAACAUUACAGUCAACCAUGGAGACAUGAGGCACAAGAAGUGGCGCUGCGGGGUGUAGUCGGAGUGUCUCCUUGAUCACCGCCUUUAGGUAGGGCAUCCUACCUAGCUGCUCCUCAGUAACGAUUUCCUGCCCUUUUGGUACCACACCCCUCACCUCAGCCUGUAGCUUGGCCAUCAGCUGGGGCUUCUGUAUUAGCUCGGCCAUGGCAUACUCUAGCUCUAUGUAUGAUGUAUCUGUUCCAGCCUCGAACAUGACAACCAAGUUUGCUUUGAUGUUAUCCUUAGUGAGGCCAUACUCUUGUUGAAUAGAGAGUAGAACAUCGAUGAAGUCACUCUCCUCAUCAUUGUUGUCGAGCAUGGAGGAUCUUCGCUUGCUAGCGUGGUCAUCGAUGAGUUGGUCAAGCAACUGAUCCCAUCUCCUCUUGACGUGAUAGGCCUUGGCACAGAGCAACCUCCUGACAACAGGUAGCCUGGCCAAGCUAGGGAAGUAAUCCUCAAGGUUGAAGCCACCAAGGAGCGACGAGUUGAUCUCGAUCAGCUCCUUGAAUAGCUGGUUCCGACCUUCUUCGCGAAAAAACUUGCCAGACACAGCAUGGCACACCAUGUUGUUGGAGUAGCAGCUGAGCAGCUCAGUCAAGUCUAUUGCCAUAUGUGUCGCCGCCUCCUCGACGAUCUUGGCCAUUACCAGCCGCACCUCCUGUUGCCGUGUCUGGCCAUAGGAGUGGACCUUCUUGAUGGUCAGGAGAUUCAUGGUGACGAUCUUCUUUAUUUGCCGCCAAUAGUCACCAUAUGGUGAGAAUGCCACAUCUGUUGCGCCAUACAAGAGGAUGUCGGCUAUAGUAUUGUAGGGCCGUGACGCAAACACACGGUCAUGAGUGCGUAGGAUGGCCUGUGCUGUACGAGCCGACGAAACCACUAGGGUUGGCACCGCGCCGAGGUGGAGGAGCAUCAGAUCAGGACCAUGCUUAGUUGCAAGGUCGCGGAGUGAUUUGUGCGGGAGAGAGCUGAUGAGGUGCAUGUGGCCAAUCACCGGAAGCCUUCCCGGCGGCGAGGGGACCCUGCUGAGCAUCCCGCCGGACCUUGUUGCGUAGGCAUAGCAACGGAAGAUGAUGAGCAGGAGGAUAAGAGGGCACAUCAUGGCGAGCAGGAGAUCAGAGCACGACAUCGUCGGCAUGGUGCUG